AACGAACGCUGGCGGCAUGCCUAACACAUGCAAGUCGAGCGCCCGUAGCAAUACGGGAGCGGCGCACGGGUGAGUAGCGCGUGGGAACCUGCCCAGAGGUUCGGGACAACCGCGGGAAACUGCGGCUGAUACCGGAUGAUGCCUGAGGGCCAAAGAUUUAUCGCCUUUGGAGGGGCCCGCGUCGGAUUAGGUAGUUGGUGAGGUAACGGCUCACCAAGCCUGUGAUCCGUAGCUGGUCUGAGAGGAUGAUCAGCCACACUGGGACUGAGACACGGCCCAGACUCCUACGGGAGGCAGCAGUGGGGAGUAUUGGACAAUGGGGCAACCCUGAUCCAGCAAUGCCGCGUGGGUGAUGAAGGCC
rnacentral:rRNA from 1 species